ACCUUGUACCUUUCUCUUUCAGGUAUACAUCUGGAAUGUCCUGUGGACCAUGCGGUUGGACCUUUUGUACCCAGGAGGAGGGGUUAAGAGGCAGGUACUGGGCAUGCGCGAAGCUCAUUCCGCGUUGGAGUCCAUCGGGUGAGGUUCCUGUUGCUGGAGCUCCCAGGCCUAGGCCUAGGCCUGUCGGUGGGAGGCUGGACCCGCUCCCGGUGGGUCCGAAGAUCCCCCCUGAGGCUGGACACCACUGCUGGAUGGCCGGAUCCCCGGCGAAGAAGGGCAGAAGGUGAGGAGGCGACGCGGUCGCAAGUCGAGGACUUUCGUGGGUCGGCGGCGCGGCAGCAGCGGAGGUCGUAGGUUGAGGAUUCCCUGCACUCAGCGGCUCGGCGGUAAUGGCGGCGGCGGCGGCGGAUCCUCCCUCGUGGUCGCUGGUCCCUGGUCGCGUGGACUGGCCUGAUGGAUGUCGUGGCGUGGGUAUACAUCUGGAAUGUCCUGUGGACCAUGCGGUUGGACCUUUUGUACCCAGGAGGAGGGGUUAAGAGGUAAGGAGUGGUUAUAAGGAUUAUGGGAUAUGUGGUUAGUUAACCCUUGAAGGUCCGGGUGAUCAGGGAGACAUAGU